rnacentral:rRNA from 1 species
CCUACGGGAGGCAGCAGUGAGGAAUAUUGGUCAAUGGACGAGAGUCUGAACCAGCCAAGUAGCGUGAAGGAUGACUGCCCUAUGGGUUGUAAACUUCUUUUAUAAAGGAAUAAAACGAGGCACGUGUGCCUUUUUGCAUGUACUUUAUGAAUAAGGAUCGGCUAACUCUGUGCCAGCAGCCGCGGUAAUACGGAGGAUCCGAGCGUUAUCCGGAUUUAUUGGGUGUAAAGGGAGCGUAGAUGGGUUGUUAAGUCAGUUGUGAAAGUUUGCGGCUCAACCGUAAAAUUGCAAUGGAUACUGGCAGUCGUGAGUACAGUAGAGGUAAGCGGAAUUCGUGGUGUAGCGGUGAAAUGCUUAGAUAUCACGAAGAACCCCGAUGGCGAAGGCAGCUUACUAAACUGUGACUGACAUUGAUGCUCGAAAGUGUGGGUAUCAAACAGGAUUAGAUACCCUAGUAGUC